rnacentral:lncRNA from 10 species
CCGCAGGCCCCGGCCCCGGCCCGCGGCAGCUGAACGGCAGAGCCUGUAGCUGCACAGCUGUGCUUCCACCUGGCGUUCAGUACCUCGUGCCCGAGAGCGGAAAAGGGAAAUCGCGAGCGGAGGACCGAUGUGCUGGCCACGUGGGCCCCGCCGGGCCGACUCCGGACCCUGCUGCCGCCCAUUCCUCCGGUGCAAGGGACCUGGAAGUGAUCCCGGUGCCGCUCUGCUCCCACCAGCUAGGGAGCAGAGGCGCGGGAGGGAAGGGGCGUCCCGGGGGUCGCCAGCACGCUGCGGGCAGGGCUGGCAGCCGCCUCCACGCCCCCGCGCUGGAAGCCUCGUCUUUGUAACAUCGAGGUAUCCUGUAACUAGAUGGGUCCUGGCCUGCGGAGGUAGUUUCCCCUGUGAAGCCAGGGACUCAGCCAGGAGCGUGAGGGGACCCGGAUCCUGAGUCUCCAAGCCGCCCACUACCCUCUGCUUUACCGGAUGGAACUCAUCAGUAACUAGGUCUGAGGCACAGUCAGUGAAUACCUGUUUAAUGAAUGCAUGCAUAAAUGAAUGAAUGGAUGAUCCAGCUCUUCCUGGAGCAGGCACGACUUCCACAGAAACAGAGCAAACGCUAGCCGUAAGCAGAAAGAACGUUAUAGCUCCAGCGCUGAAUGAGACAUCUUUGAUUCUGUGGUGAUGCGGACUUUGUGCCUCUCUGUGAGGAAUCACUUUGUUCCAAUGACGCAAUUUUCCUCACACUCCGGAAGUGUCCUGCACUGCCAGAAUCGCCCAGCUUCCCGGCACACCUAUCAACCAGUCGUUCCCAGCACUGCCCAGUAUGCAGCCUCCAGGCAGAGGGCCUGGAUGUCUUGGCAGGUAGGGUUCCCCUAGCAGCCUGGGGGUGGUCAGAUAGAAACAUUAACUGGAACGUAGAGGCCAGUUCUUGGCUCAGGGAGCCAGGAGGGCUCUGACUGUUGCACAUACAAGCCACUCACACUGCUAUCGCCCACAUACCUUCCUCUCCCGCCAGCCCACCCCAAAGCCCAAACUCCUGCCCGCAUGCUGGGAAGGUGAGCCCUUGCCUGGAGAGCCCAGCAGGGGAAAUAGAAGGAGGGAAGGAGGCCUGCUCCUUCCCCGGAGCUCUGCUCUGCGGCUGCAGGAAGACCCGCAGAGGCCCUGGGCAGCAGAACUGUGGACAGCAAGGCUGGAGUUGUGAAACCCAACCACUCAGCUGGAUUCCAGAAGCUCAGGUGUUUCCGAAAAAUCCAAUCCACCCUCCAAGGUGGAAAGUGUGCCAUCUCUGCCCAUAAUCCAAAUGGCGUGCCUGAGGCAUAGAAAGCAGCUUUCAGGGAGGCCUUCCUUCCUCUGAGCAAUGGUGGCAUCAUCAGAAAAGUGGAGCUCCUCCAAAAGGAUCUGCUGGAAGCAGAGGACGCCCAUGUCGCCUGGUGACUCCCUCUGACCCAACAAGUUGCAGCACCUCUGCUGGGCUUUGCCACUGCCCCAUUUUUGCCAGAGCCUCACCCUGGUGGGGCCCCACCUCUGGGAAGCCCCAGCGCCUGCAAGAUUUUUUCCUCUCGUGACAGGGAGCAGCAUGCGGAGGGCCCUUGCACAACCUGGGUCUUCAGGAAGUUCCUUGCCCAGGUGUUGGCCCAGCUCUCUUCAUGGUUCCAAGAAGGCUGCCCCAGGAAGGCUUGUGGACAGAGGGAGAAGCAUCUCUUCCUCUAUGUCUCUUUUUAUCUAAGAAACCAGUUUGACCAGCAUCCUUCCCCUCGGCUCCCCAGGAGGAAUGCACGGAUCCCUUCGCCUUCCCCCAUCCCUCCAUGGUUGACUAAACCCACUAGGAUCCACUCUUUUGCGUGGAAAUGGGUUCAGGCCUCCCACGAAGAGCAUGAAGAUGCCCUCUGUUAUGGGUUACAUUAUGUCCCCUGCCCCCGAGACCGUAUGUUGAGUCCUAACCCUAGUAUUGCAGAACGUGAAUUUAUUAGGAGAUAGGGUCUUUAUGGAGGUCAUUAAGUUAAAUGAGGGUGUUAGGGUGGGCUGGUGUCCUGAUAUAAAGGGGAAAUUUGGGGCUGGGUGUAGUGGCUCACACAUAUAAUCCCAGUGCCUCGAGAGGCCAAGGCAGGAGGAUUGCUUGAGGGCAGGAGUUCAAGACCAGCUUGGGUAACAUAGGGAGACCGGUAUCUAUAAAAAAAAUUAAAAACAAAAAAAUUAGCCGAGUGUGGUGGUGCAUGCCUGUAGUCCCAGCUACUCAGGAGGCUGAGGUGGGAGGAUCGCUUGAGUCCAGGAAUUUGAGGCUGCAGUGAGCCAUAAAAAGAUGGGGGACGAUGGAGACGCACAGGGAAAACACCUUGUGAAUGCGGCAGAGAUAAGGGUGAUGCCUCUACACACCGAGGAACUUCAGAGACAACCAGUAAGUCACUGGGAGCUCGGGGAAGGCACAGCGCAGAUGCUCGCUGCCCUCAGAGGGAAGCCAGCCCGCCAACCCCUUGAUCUCAGACCUCUGGCCCCUGGAACUGUGAGAUGAUAGAUUUCUGUCGUUUAAGCACAGUGGUGCUGUGUUAUAGCAGCCCUAGGGAACCAUCCACUAUCAGAACAAAAGCAGGGCUGGACUGCUAGAAGAAAGGAGAGGAGAAUGGCAGAGGAUACCCACCUUGGGGCUGAAUCUGAGAUCACUCCAGGGCUCCCCAGGUUGUUUUGAAGAAUGGAGAUGGAUUUGUGCAGGGCUCACUGUAGAAGCUCAGUGCAGCAUGCGACGCUUAUAAGGCUGCAAUCCCCAGAGCUCAGUCCCUGAAGAGCGCUGCAUUCACAGACAUCAGCCAGCAGACAAACCAGUACCUAUUGUCCCUGACCCCCAGAAUCCAGCAGACAUAUAAAAGAUGGUUGUUAACCCCACUAAGUUUUGGGGUAAUUUGUUAUGCAGCCAUGCAACUGAAAGAAGCAGCUACAAUAUUUUUAUAAUGAAAUUCUUAGCCAGGACCCUCAUAGCCUAGCAAGAAGUUCUGUCUGGAAGAGCCCAGCUUUGGGGUUGGGUAUGUCUGGGUUUUAAUAUGUCAAGAGGGCAGGCCCUGGAGACGGAGCACAUGGAUUUGAAUCCCAGCCUCUCAUAGGCAGGUUAAUUAAUUUCCCUGAAUCUCAGUUUCUUCAUCUCUCAAUGGAGAAAAUAAUAGAAGCCACCUCACGGGAAUUAAAUGAGAUUAUUUACGCACAGCACCAAGGCUGUGGCUACUGUAUUUGACCCCUGAAACAGUUAAUUUUUCUUGACAUCCCUUCCUUGGUAUAUGUAUUAGUCAGGGUUCUCUAGAGGGACAGAACUAAUAGGAUAUCUCUCUCUCUAUAGAUUUAUAUAAAGGGGAGUUUAUUAAGUAUUAACUUACACAAUCACAAGGUCCUGCAAUAGGUCGUCUGCAGGCUGAGGAGCAAGGAGAGCCAGUUCAAGUCCCAAAACUGAAGAACUUGGAGUCUGAUGUUCGAGUCCAGGAAGCAUCCAGCACAGGAGAAAGAUGGAAGCUGGGAGGCCAGGCCUGACUCUCCUUUUCAUGUUUUUCUGCCUGCUUUAUAUCCGCUGGCAGCUGAUUAGGUGGUGCCCACCAGAUUAAGGGUGGAUCUGCCUUCCCCAGCCCACUGACUCAAAUGUUAAUCUCUUUUGGCAACACCCUCACAGACACACCCAGGAUCAAUACUGUCAGUUCAAUCAAGUUGACACUCAGUAUGAACCAUCGCAAUACAAUAGGAUUACUUUCUGUGAUAACCUGUGUAAAAAUAGGCAGUCAUGAUUUUCCUGUUGUGUUCUUCAGGUGUAAAACAAAAAAUUUUAAAAGAAGAAACUUCAAUUUUAAAGAUAUUAUUCAAACUAAGUUAAACAUUUUGUGUAUAAAUUAAAACAAUAAAUUUUGUUUGCAUGUAUCAAACAAAAAUAUUCCAUCUUGCAGUUAACAUUUUCACUGUUUAAAUUUUCAACACCAAAAUCCCAUGUGUAAUGAUGGAAUUUAACUGGUUAAAUGCUGCCUCUUUGCCUUCACAAUCACAGUGGUACUGUUUCUUGCAAAUGUCAUGAGAGUUGGAGAUAUGUCUUGCUCCUGUUUUGGGCGCAAAGGUGAGGUGGUCAGUUGUUGGUCUGGGACUUUCAGUGCUAAAAUCAGAAAAGUCCUGGGUGAACCGGAACAAGUUGGCCCGCCAGCUGAAGGACUGAAAAAACUUUGGACACUUUCCCAAUGAACACGUAGCCAAAUCUGUGUGAAUCAGAGGCCAGCUGUGGAACCAGGAGUUCUCUGAAUUAAUUUAGGUGCGGAAUAUGUUUAUGAAAGGACAACUAAUAAAAACCUGAAGUUCACAU